UACUAUUGGGGUGAAUAAACAACUUGGAUACAUGGGCAGCUUUAAAAACAUCCAUCCUGAAUGCGGCAUAGAGCCAAAUACGAUCCUGGAAUCGACACAAACCAUCAUCGGUAAGCCUAAAAUUAGGAAAUUUAUUAGAAGUAAACUUACCCAGAUUCUUAAUUAUCUCUAAAUUGAUGGAUUGAGCUUCUCAAAUCUUCAUGAAAAGAU
rnacentral:lncRNA from 1 species